UACGUAGGUGGCGAGCGUUGUCCGGAUUUACUGGGCGUAAAGAGCGCGCAGGCGGUCGUACAAGUCGCGUGUGAAAGCCCCCGGCUCAACUGGGGAGGGUCACGCGAUACUGUUCGACUCGAAGGCAGGAGAGGGAAGCGGAAUUCCCGGUGUAGUGGUGAAAUGCGUAGAUAUCGGGAGGAACACCAGUGGCGAAGGCGGUUCUCUGGGCCUGUACUGACGCUGAGGAGCGAAAGCGUGGGGAGCGAACAGG
rnacentral:rRNA from 1 species